UCCCUAACUCUCUCUUUCUCUCUCUUUCUCGCCGGAGACUCGGAUCUCCGGCAUCUCCUAUUUUAUUUUUUCCCUAUUUUUUUUAUUGAUUUUCUGUCUAUUUAAUAUCAGAUUUUCUUUUCUCUCCUUCUCUCUAUGGUUUAGCUUUGAUUUUUUGCUUUAGCUUAUUUAGUCCCCGGAAUCUGACAUGGGUAGAUGAUUCAUCAACUGGGUUUUGUUUUUCAGUGGUUAUUUUGGCCGGAAUCCUACAUGGGUGGCUGUCUUGUUUUUGCCGGCAUCCGAUGGGAAAAAUCUGACCCACAUGCCCCAAAUUCUGAAUUUUCAAAAUAGGAGCUUGCUAGAUUUUGAUUCCAUUUUGUUAGCUCCAUGUUUUCUGAAAACAUAUUUUCUGUUUUAGGAAAAAAAAAAAAAAACAAACAGAGAAAUAGGGUUUUGUUUUGUUCUAAGAGACGGAGAAGCUCAAUACAUUAGACUCUUCUUUGGGUGUGAAGUCAUCGCUUUACAUUUUAGCCACUAGUAACUGGCCACGCCAGCACAUGCCAGUGGCCCUGACGCAAAGGUGUCAUGAAUUGUUAUUAUUAUUUCUAAUUAUUUUUUCUAGUUCUAAAGAUUUUUCUUGUGUCUGAGUAUUUUUAUGAAUUUGUUGAGUAUUGGUUGUGCUUACAGUAGUGCAUGGAUUGAUUGACAGUGGUUGUUUGCGCAUGUAGCAUCAUCAAGAUUCACAUGCAAAUGCACGGUGGUGAUGUUAUCUCUGCCAAACUUUUCAAGGAUGAGAAUCUUGAUGAUGCUGCAUCGGCAAUAAACUACUAUACAAAGGGCUCUCUCGUCACUUGUUGAGCAAGGUGAUUCUUUCUUUUUGGUUUUCUGUUAAUGUCUCAGGUGGGUUUAUUGUAUUUCUUUUUCGUGGGGGAUUCUUUAUUUGGAGCAGUCCAUCUAUGGAUUGUGCAGUGCAGACUUUCAAUGUGUUUUUUCCAGAGAUCAUUUUGUAGACAACUACGAAAGAAUUUAAUGCAUCAAUGACCAUUCAAAGGUCACUUAGCUGUGCUGACUUUGUAGAUCUGUGAUUAUUCUUCUGAGCCACAAAAAAAAAAAAAAAAAAAAAAAAUCUGAUGUGAUGGAAAUGGCAUCUCUUUAUUCAGCUUCUUGAUGAGAUGGGAGUUCAGACCAUGUCUAAAAACUGUGCGCAGAGAAAGGGCUUCAUUCUUUAAUCAUAUGAGUGUUUGAUUUAUAAUUUUUCGAGCUUACUGGCCUCUGUAGAUCUUUGAUUUUGAUUAUUCUUUUUGAGAUGAAUGUUAGUGGGGUUUCAUCGCUCAAGUACUGCAGGAAGACAAAGGAGCAACUAUCACCUGGAGGUACCGGGGGAACUGAUAAGAUGGGAGAUGAAACAUAUACCUGAGCAGAAAGCUAAUUAAGAAAAGAGCAAUCUUGUUAUUCCUAUGGGGGAAUUCACCUGUAGAUUUCAUCUAGGCAUUAGGAGCGCUACAAGAAAAUGGAGGAAAUGAAAGGGUGCGGAGUUUCUCAACAGUUGGAGCUGAAACUGUUGUUGCAAGAUUAGUCUUGGCACCACCUUCUCCAAUCCAAGAUUUCACAUCCUUUAGCAUAUUUCUAUAUGGUCUCAAACCAUGGAAUGAAUAUGCAAAAAGACUUGAGUUAUGGACACAGGCAACCAAUUAUUGCAAAAAUUUGGUCAACUAAUACUCCUUUCCUCUUCCAUUCGCAAACAGAAAUCCCACUAUGUAACCUAAUGUUUUCUGUACGUGAUAUUGGCCCAGUUAGUAACAGAAGAUGUUUAACUAAGCCAUUAGGUACUUUGUUAGAAGAAGCAUGCAUAACAUGUAGCUUGAGACAUUAGUUUCUACAUAUAUAUUAAAAGCUUAUGGCUUGGUCACUAAGUGAAUUCUUAAUGGACCAUUUUUGUCUUCAAUAUUGUUUAUUGAAUGAGGAUUCAUUUAUUUGUUUGUUUGUUAAAAGAUUUAUCAGAACCCUGUAUCACUUGUGAGCUCACCUCAAAAUCAAAAUUUGACUUGUGACUUGACAUA